rnacentral:rRNA from 1 species
GACGAACGCUGGCGGCGUGCUUAACACAUGCAAGUCGAACGGAAAGGCCCUGCUUUUGUGGGGUGCUCGAGUGGCGAACGGGUGAGUAACACGUGAGUAACCUGCCCUUGACUUUGGGAUAACUUCAGGAACCUGGGGCUAAUACCGGAUAGGAGCUCCUGCUGCAUGGUGGGGGUUGGAAAGUUUCGGCGGUUGGGGAUGGACUCGCGGCUUAUCAGCUUGUUGGUGGGGUAGUGGCUUACCAAGGCUUUGACGGGUAGCCGGCCUGAGAGGGUGACCGGCCACAUUGGGACUGAGAUACGGCCCAGACGCCUACGGGAGGCAGCAGUGGGGAAUAUUGCACAAUGGGCGGAAGCCUGAGGCAGCAACGCCGCGUGCGGGAUGACGGCCUGCGGGUUGUAAACCGCUUUCGCCUGUGACGAAGCGGGAGUGACGGUAAUGGGUAAAGAAGCACCGGCUAACUACGUG